rnacentral:lncRNA from 1 species
AGCUUUGAAAUAUCAAAAUAACCAGAUAUAUAAAAAAUUUCCUAAAAACCAAAGAAGUCAUUUAUUGCAAUAGAAAGAGAGAGAGAGAGAGAGAGAGAGAGAGAGAGAGAGAGAGAGAGAGAGAGGUUGAAGGUCACACCACUGUCUCAGGGGGAGACAAGCCACCUUCACACUUAAUCAUAAUGUCACUCAUGUCACCAUAUUCUUAAAAUCUAAUCUUGCCCUCCUUGAAACUAGUAAUGCCAAAACUGUCCAUUCUACUACUUAAGCAUCUAUUUCAAGAGAAAGGCCAUCCUGGAAUCAUGGACAUAGAUGGAAUCCCCUAUUGCAUCUUUUCAGACUUGGCAGCAGGACUAAUAUCUGCCACAAUGAUGCAAAAAGAGAACACAGUUAAAAACAUUCGGAGUCUUGAAAGGCAACCUUCAAGUGGAGAUUUUAAACUCGAGGCCACUGAACUUAUGCCUUCUCAUCAGAUACUGGAGUCUUCUCAUCAUGCAUUAUGUCUGACUAUCUAACCACCCUAGUAAAUUCAUUUAGAGAAAUGUUAUUGGACUGUCAGUGUAUGCCUUCUUUAUGCUAAAAAUGAACCGCCACGACCAUUCUCAGUGAACUUUGUCAUUGGCACGAUGGAUCUUUUAAGGAAAUGAGCAUACAAGAGAUUUAAAGGCAUCAGAUAACCAUCCAGUGCGGUGAGUUCGAGUGCACAAGAAGGCCCAAGUAUUCUCUCUAGUUGAUUCAGUGAGACAACCAAAUACAACAUCAGGAAACAGUAAAGAGAUGAAUAGAACUGCCUUUAGAAACUUUCAUGACCAGUCAUGAUCCAAAAUGGAACAGCAUAUCAACUCUCAAGUGAUCUUCACUGAAUCACAAACAAUGCCACCAAAGAGUGUUUUUGUUGGCAAAACAAAGUGGAACAGUAAACUUGUGCACACACAAAGAGAAUUGUUUGAGAACCUUCAGCAAAAUUAACAAAAAAUUUACUAGGUUCAAAAGCAUGUCAAGUUAACAAAGAACAAAAGCGUAACUGCAGAAGCUCCUAAAUGACCAUGUGAAUAUAAUAGGAUAAUCUUAGCAAAUAUAUUUUUAUUAUAGCAAGUCUUAUGGAGUUCACAGCACUCUUUUAUGAGAUGUCAAAGCUACAAAUAUUGUAGCAAGUUUUUGAAUUACAACAUGAGAAUUCAGGUUUUCCUGAUUGUGAAUAAGCUCUUCCAAAUAAUUAAAACAACAAAUCAGAACGGACAAACAUAUUCUACAUUUUGAAGGGACAAGUUUCAGUCUUCUUACUGCAGAAAUUAAAUUAAACCAAUAAGAAAUGUCUAAACAUUCUUUCAAUUCAACAAUUUCAGCUAAAGACUAAAUUAGCAUCUUGAAAAAGAUAAUCUAGCAAUCUUUCCAAACAUUUGAGGAAGUGUAGAAUGAAAAGGGGAAAAGGAGAUCAAUUAAAGUUUUUAUUUAGUUACACAAAACAUAAUGAUAACAAUAACCAAAAUGUUCAAGUCUUUAUAAGUCUUAUUUUUAUUUCUUACUAAACAGAUUAUAUUCCUUUUCCUUAUCAGAACUUGAUAGCUAUCACGACAAAUUUUGAAGAAGUUGUAAAUGAUUUGAACUUUCAGUCAGUCAUAUACUCAAUUGGUUGAUCCAGCGGCAGACAUCCCUCUUCCUACUUGUCAGAGGCAGAGUUUUGAGUUUUUAUCUGUUGAGAGUACAUCAUGUGAACAACAGAAAUAUAAUUAAAAUUAGUUCAAUGCCAUGAUGACAGCAAAACCUCCAAAGAUAUAUCUGGCUAGAUCCUACUAACUCAGUUGACUGCCUUUUCUACUUGUAAUUGUCUGAAAAAGUUUAAUGAUGAAAAUAUCAGGUUCUACUUGCACUCAUAAGUAGAUUUACAUGAGUGAGAGCAGGUGGAAAGAAUUGAAUAAAGAAAGCACAAUGUUUCGUUUUGCCCUAAAAUUAAAAUGCAUUCUUUGAUACUUCCAAAAAGCAUAAUGUGCUGUCAUACCAAAAGAAUACAAUGUAUUGUUUGAUACUUCCAGUUUACCAAACAACAAACAAUUGCCACAUAUGCAUAUAAUAAGCACAUGCACUAAAUUAUUGUUUACUAUAUACUCAGACUCAUGCAUCAUAUGAACCAAGAUGUAAGACAAAACGAUUCCUAUUGGCCAUCUCAAUGAUCUUGAGAAUAUAAAUAAGCAAUAACAAAAGGCUGUUUACUAUAUCUUUCUUAACAGAUUUUAAAACAAAAUAGUGAAGCUAUGGACAAAAUCAAACAUUUAUAGAAAUCUGAAGUAAAAGGUGCGAUAAAGAUUUUGAUCUAGUGUUACAAUAUGAAUUAUGACAUACAUGACAAAUAAGUUAGAAUUACCAAAGAAUCCUGGAAGCCUUGAUAAAAAAUAUGAAGCGCCUAUAUCUGGGAAGAAUCCCAGUGCUGUUUCUGGCAUAGCAAAAACCUGCACCAGAAUAUAUGACUGGUACUUUAGUUGAUCCUUUGAGUAGGUAAUACAAACAAACACAGGAUUUCAUGGACAUGAUCCAUCAUGAAUUUAAAUAUGCCACAUAUCCGGUCCACGCAUGUAUCAAAGUACUUGUAUUCAUGUUUGGGAUGAUCAAAUUUAUAAUAUCAGCAAAUACAUAUAUUGAUUAUACUAUAAAUAAAAUGGCAUACAUCUUUACCAGUUUUCCUUCCAGUAACAAUUAACACAGCAGAUACGGCAAUUCACUAAUAAUGUGAAAAUAAAGUUAUCAUGGGUUAUGCAGUAGAGAAAACAAAAUAGGUUGAUGUAAAUGAAACUACAGUAAAAUGCUGACGUGAUGAAAGAAAAAGAGAGAAACCUCAAACAUGUUACAUUAUAGGAUUUGAAAAUGUAGCUUUAUCAUGUUUGCCAAGUUGGAUUAUGAGGGUCAAAAAAGUGUAUCAACAGAAUUAAGCAGAAACGCAACCACACCAAAGCACGUGUUGUGGCUCCACCCAACUUAACAUGUCAUUUGUUAAUCGAUAACAUUCCAAGUUUAGUAGUAGCCUGCUAUAUAAUUACAUAAAACUAGGGUUCAUCGUACUGAGCUGUACCGCUCAAAAUGGGUGGUACAUACCGGUCCGAUAAGGGAUCGAUGCGUGAACCGCCCUCUACCAGGUAAUACCCAUUACAUGAGCCUGUAUCGAGCGAUACAGGAUCUGUACCGAUCAGUAACGAUCGAUUUUCGACCGUCACUGAUCAAGGGCUCAGAUUAUCAUAUUUUAAACGGUCAAUUUGACUAUUUGAACCAUAAGAAAGGAUUUUUAAACCCUUUCCUCCCCCCUCUUUCAACCCAUUUCACUCUCUUAAACUCUUCAACUCACUCAAACUCUUUAUCACUCACAUCUCUUAACAAGGUACUAGUCAAGUUUAUACAUGAAAUGGGAAGGGAAAAACAGUGAAUGAUUUUGAGCAAAUGCGAUAGAGCUUACUCGACGUAAACACAGAGUGAAGCUCAUUGUAUUUACAGUCGUCAUAUUAUGGAGAAUCUUAUAGUCAACAGCAGUAUGAUGAUGGUCAUACUUCUCCGAGCAAUAGUAUGAUAAUCGAUCUUAUGAUAUGAAGCAGUAGAUCAAUGGCGAAAAUAGAAGUUCUGACAUUCUCCAUGCUCCACACGAAUACAUACCACAACCAUCCUUGCCUCAGGAGUCACCUCGGACACAUGAUUCACGAUGAUCAGACUACGACCAUCACUACAUUGUUGCACCAAUGACAUAUGGUAUAUCAGUAUACUAUGCCGUGGGAUCAAUUUCAUGAUUGGGUCUGACAAAUGUAUUAGAUUGAUAUACAGAUACAUAGGAACAAGGACCCCAAUCCACCGCCCGUGGAGUCCCGUCGUUUUUUUCGGUAAUAGAACUAGGAAUAUCCAUCGAUUAAUUACUUAAUUUGUUUAAAUCUUAAAGUUUAAGUUGUUUAAAAAUAAUCUAACAAUUCAAAUCAUUUCUUUGUAGAUAAUUCAAUAUUAACGAAAGAAAUAUCUGAAACGUACCACAAAGCUACUCCUCAAAAGCUUAAAAAGAUGUAUCAUUAUUCUUUCCUAAUUUUGAUUAUUUUUUAUAAAAUUAUACUAAAUUUAUACUUAUUUACAAUUUAAAAACCCUUAUCCAACUUUUUUUAUUUUUUAAAAAUUUUAGGAGCUAUGUUUAAUAAUAAUUUUACUAUACUGUCGAUACACCCAAGCAUACCAAUAUAUGGUACAUUGGCAUCCCUUGGUACAUAUCGUACCAAUGGUUGGUCUAUACAACGGUACAAACUAGUUUCACGAACCUUGCAUAAAACAACCAUAAAACACACAAACAGCAAAAAAAAAAAAAGUAGGCAUAAAAUGUAGUGGAUGGAGACCCGUGAAAAUUUUGCACCAAACAGAAGCAAAAACAUCGUAGAAGAACUUGUGUGUAGUUCUUUGCAACGUGGAUGACCAAGAAUCAAGUCAUGAAAUAGUCACUGUAUUUAUUUCUAGGAUAAAGAAUGUAUAUAUUGGCCCUCCCCUCAGGCCCCACACCGGGAGAGUCUCAUGUACAAGGUUCUAACUUUAUCAUCAAAUUACAUAUUACAAGUAUGAAUUGGUGCAUAAUGGAGGACAAAACCCUAAUUAUCAUUUGACAGGCUGAAAAAAAAGCCCUGAUUUAAAUGGACAAGCAAUCGGUGGAAACAAAAGUGACUUGCUAAAAGAAUAUUACAAAACAGUCAGGAUGAGAUUUCGAUUUUGGAUAUUAUCACAUUCAUAAAUAUGCACAAAAGUAUAUGACCUUGUUUCUGAUUAACCCAUUUGUAAAUUUCCUAUCUGCUACUGCCUCGGUAAAGUUAAAAAACAUAGGUUAACUGCGAAAAUUGAAUCGAACAGCAUAAUAAGCAUGAACUUAGUUAAGUAAUAGUUAACUAUUACUUUCGCUUCAAAGGCAAAUGUUCCAGUCAUGCAUUAGCUAAAGAAACAUACCGUUUUCUCUGUGACAACUCUAAAUCUACCAUGUAUUGAAAUGCCAGCCCCACCACCCAUGACAAUUCCAUCUAGAAUAGAAACCUUCAAACAUGGUAUUGUAGGUUAACAUGAUUCUAAGAAAUGCAUUAGAAAAAUGACAUUCACAAAUAAAAAAAUAAAACGUUAGAGGAUAAGUCACCUGAGGCUUGCUGUAAGUUGCAAUUAUGUAAUUUAAGGUAUAUUCAUUCCGGAAGAAUUCUGCACCCAGAGUCCAAUGACCUGACAGAAUGAUAGCAAGAAUCCCAGUUGAAAGAAAGUGGAUGAAGGGAAAAAAACAUAUUUAUGUUUCAACUUGGAACAAAGAACUUUGAAACAAGGUUCUUUUAGAACAUCAUAGCAAAUUUCCCUAGCAAGCUUGUAGUUUAUAGUUUAGACAUCAGUCAGAAUGACAGGUACAGUCACUGCACCUUCCAAACCUUCUCAUUAGACUUGGUCUCAUCCCUUGACAGGCAACACAGAUAAUUAAAUCUACCUUGAGUUACAGAUUGGACAACUGCUGCAACAUCCCCUCCAGCAGAAAAUGCUCUUCCAUUUCCCUGAAAGCUAUAACCCAUUAAAAUAUUACCAAAAACUGAAUUUAGCACAUGGAUCCUAGUACCAUAAGAAUGCUACGAUAAGUGUGUUCUAGCACCCUAGUUGGCUCCACCAAGAAAAUGGAAAGGAGAGCUCAAUGCAUAUAAUUUUUUUUACAAAUUAUAACCUAGUUGUAACCAAUUUAAGAUUUUCCCAGUACCAGAAAAAAGGUAAUAAAACUGAACCCUUCUUAUUUCAAAAUCAUUGUUUGCAUCAACAUCCACACAAACACACGUACACGUGCACGCUGCACACACAUAUACACGCACCUUUAUCUCCAACUGAAAGCUCGAAAGCACUCUCAUCUAUCCCGAACAUUAGUAGAGAUUCAACACCUCAAUGUGAAACUAGCCCCAGAUAUUUGCAGGAAGCGAGAUAAAUACGAAUAUCUGACAACUCAAGAUGAGAAGUAGAAUGUGUGGAAUUACUGAAUCUCAUAGCAAGAAUUUCAUCAAUUGGUGUGGAGUCCUACAGAACACUGGAGGCACCAACCAUCAUUGUUUAUCACAUUUGUUGUUGCUUCCUUAUGACCGAAAAGCAUGCAUCAAGGAAACAUGAGCAAUCCAAAUAGCCAAAAAAACCUUAAGUGAUUGGCUAUCUGAAUUGGUCUCUAUGAAUUAUUGGAAUUCCUUCAGAUGAUAGACAUGCCAUGAAUUAGUGCUUCUAGCUCUAAUGAAGUAUUUCUCACAUGCACAAGCUAAAAAAGGCAACAUAAGUGAAGGUUGACAUUCUCUGUAAAUUAGUACUAGAUGAGUUAUUAAUUUACCUUCAUUAUCAAUAAUUUGACAUCAGAAUCCUUCUCAUAAGCAACAAAAAGCUUCAGUAGCUUCAUAAUCUGGAAAAGAAUUAUUAUACCAGAAUUAUUUCGUAAGAAUUUUCAUAUUGUGAUGAUAAAAUAAAAAAAUGUUCGAUUCAGCUUCCCACAUCAAAUAAAUAAUAGAGCUCGCAUAUAAAGGAGCCAGAUAAAUUCUCCAAACGAUUCAACUCGAAGAAAAAACAUACAAGUGGCGCAUAAGAUAAAAAUCAUGAUAUUGCAUGUAUAACAUAAGCUGCAGUCCACAACAAAACAAACAUAGGGUACCUCAAGGUCACAUACACAGUAUUAGCCAUGCUGAGGAUCCUUUUUUUACUGAAGAUACAUUAUAAAAAUGCAUUAGAAUAUUGUAAACAGAAUAACAGGAGAUGUGUGCUACAGCUCAGCAAAAUUUUAUUGGAUGAUUUUGUACUCAUCUGUCAAGCUAUUUCAGUAGUGAGUUACAAGGAUCUACGUGAUCAAAAUUACUUUAUUAAGGACCACAAAUUUCAUCAAUUACAAAAUAGUACUAAAAAUAAAAACAACAAAAUAAAAAUAUAAACCAAACUUUAUUUUCAUAUUUAUUAACUUGAAUAUGGCAACAUGCAGCUUCACAACAUAGGUAGUACAACAAAAAAUAAGACCACACAAGCCAAAUGAGAAGCAAUCGUAUGAUUGCUCUCAUAUGCAGCUCAGUGAUUUAAAAAGACGCUCGGGUGCUCGCCUAGGCACUCGGGCAAGGCGAGGCGAGGCCCGAGCGCCUCACUAAUCUCCCAGGCGGCGCGCUUCAAACAGGCGCCGCCUGGGCGCUUCGGGCGAGCGCCUGGGUUAACCAAGGCGACCGAACCAGGAUUUUAGGUCUGGUUCGGUCUCUGAUGGUUAGUUGGUUCAAUCGAACCAACUAAAAUCGAUAUAAGUGAGAACCCAACCCUAACCCUCGCCGCUGCCGCUGCCGCUCCCGAUCCCGAUCCCGAUCUCGCUGCUCGCCGUUGUCGCUGCUCGCAAACGCUGCCUCUGUCGCCGCUCGCGCCUCUUGCUGCUCGCCGCUCCUGCUCCCGCUCCCGCUGCCGCUGCUCGCCACUAUCGCUGCUCACAAACGCUGCCUCUGUCGCUGCUCGCGCCUCCUGCUGCUCGCCGUUGUCGCUGCUCACNNNNNNNNNNNNNNNNNNNNNNNNNNNNNNNNNNNNNNNNNNNNNNNNNNNNNNNNNNNNNNNNNNNNNNNNNNNNNNNNNNNNNNNNNNNNNNNNNNNNNNNNNNNNNNNNNNNNNNNNNNNNNNNNNNNNNNNNNNNNNNNGCUGCUCGCCGCUCCUGCUCUUACUGCUGCUGCUCGCCGCUGUCGCUGCUCGCAAACGCUGCCGCUGUUGCCGCUCGCACCUCCCGCUGCUCGCCGCUCCUGCUCCCGCUCCCGUUGCUUGCCGCUGUCGCCGCUGCCUCCUUACACUCCGCUGCCGCUACCGCUUCCUCUUUUCUCAGUCAGCAGGCUCAGCACCCCUUACACUUCCUUCUUCUCCUUCUGUUAACAGUAUACAGUAUACUAUUAACAGUAUACUAUAUACUAUUAAUAUUGUUAGGUUUAUUUGAAAUUAUUAAUUUUUAAUACUGUUAAUAGAUUUUCUUAAUUUAAUAGCAUAUUUUAAUUUAAAAUUUUAAAUAAUUAUAUUUAUUAAUUAUAUUAUAUAUUUUUAUAUUUUAGCGUCUCGCUUCGCUCGGGCGAGCGCCUAGCGCCUCGGGCAUUUUUGGACCUUAGCGUCUUUUAGCGCCUAGCGCUUUUUAAAUCACUGAUGCAGCUGCAUAGGCUGCUUGAAACAAUGGUUGAAAUUGAAUAGAAUUGACAUCAAAAUGUCCAUUUAAAUUCUGACAUCCAUCAUCUCAGAAGUACUUAUGAAUCAUUUUCUUGGACAAGUUGCUAGCAAUGUCCAGCUCUUAUUUUUCUUUUUGCUUAAAGUUACAUAUAGAGUUGAAUGAUCUAUUGAACUCCAAUUUCACAGUCAUCAAGUCUCUUCCAUACACUAAUAAGACACCCGUAGUAAGUCCAGUAUCAUACCUGAAUAAAAAAUUUUCCUUCUUUAUUCUAAUUUCAGCAUCCUCUAAAAAGAACACCAUUUCACUCCUAAAAUACUUUGGUAGAAAAAUUACUACUCUGAGAGGGUUGCACUGCCACUAAUAAGUCCUCAAUAACAAACAACACAUCUCACUCCAAAAAUUGAUCUUUCAGAUACUUCCAUAGGAUAAUUUGAAAGUUUUAAUAAAUCAAUCCUGCUCAUGGAAAAUUGCUUCUAUUAUGUUAGCCAAAAUAUCCCAUAAAAGUUUUGAUUUUUAAAUUCCAUUAAACCAUUUAAGAAUUCAUUCUUUCAUGUCCAUUUGGUAUAACUGGUAGCCUCAGCAGUUAUGGAGCUAAAAGCAAAGAACUUACGCAUAUGACAAACAAUAACUUAUGAGUUAAAGCAUACAUUAUUGUGUAAUUAUGUCAGGCAAAAGAUACGAAAACAUCAUAAGUAAAUCACCAGACAUAUCCAAAUUUAUACUUUUCAACAAUGAGCCAAUCACAUGUGUAUCCACUGAUGAAGAAAUUUGAUGAAUCCUUGAAGUUGCAGACAGUUAUUUCUUUAUAGAAGACAUUAAAAGAAAUGAACAUCACGAAAUACCAUUGGAGUAGACAGAGCAUUCAGCUGUCGAGGCCUGUUAAGUGUCAAUAUCCUUGUAAACCUGCAGUCUUCUACCAAAACCUAUCAAAUCCCCAAAAAUACUGUGAAAAAACAACAAUAUUUGGAGAACACUAAUAUGUAGUUGAGAAUAAUACAAAGAACACAUUUCAGAAGCAUAGUGCGAUGGACCUCAAAGGAACAAUUUCACGAUCCAGAAAAUUGAGCAAAAAACCCUAGUGCCUUGUGACAUUUGUGAAAAAUGAAAUCAAUCUAGCACUAAACCAAUGGCCAUUUAAUUAUUAAAAAAUCAAUAAAAUUAUAAAAAGGGACCGGACGGAACACCGCCUCAAAAAAGUGCCCAACAAAUAAUGAUUUACUGAGAAUCUUGUUUACGGAGGUGCCUUAAUUGUUCGUUGUGUUGUUGUCUCAUACUAUGUUUACCCCCUAAUAGGUUUAUCUUCGACUUCACCUUCACACAACAUACACCAUACUAGAGAAAGUCUUACGAGCGUGUGAUUCCAAGACCAACAAUCGUGCCUGGUUUAAUAUCAUACGGCAUUAUCUCUCAUAAGUAGACAACACACAAUUCACAAGAAGUUCUCCUCAUCGGCCACACCAAAAAGCCACUUUCUUGCAUUUUUUCUCGGACCAAGAAAGAAACUUUCAGGUGGCCAAUCAAAACCCACGUUUUAAAUUCAACGAAAAACAUAAAUACCCGGCCAGUGCUCCCUUAAAAGACUGGAAAAGAUCACCUGAUUGGUUGUGCCGUCGUUGCUAGCGUUUUGUGAGGACGAGGCCAUGACGUGUUCGAAAGCCAAAACCUUCCCUUCGCAAUCAAGAAACCGGUGAAAGAAGAGACGGAGGGGGGUGGGGGGUGGGAGGGGAGGGGAGAGAUCAAAGACAAAGAAAAUAUCUGAUAGAAAGAUACUUCCGUACCAAAUGAACCAGCGAUCAAGAAGGAUUGAGGACCGAACCAAAUCGAGGGAGAAGGGAAGGAAGAAGGGGAUGUCGUCUUUGAUACGAGUUUCUAAGAUGUCAGAUAUGCUUCCCUGCUCAUAGUGAAAUUACAAUGAUGCCGCUUGAUAUAUUGAAUUUUCUUAAAAUGUCAGGAACCGUAAAAAAACCCCUUCUUUUUAAUUAAAAUGAUGCCCCUUAAAAUAGCAAUUAUUUUUAAAAUUCAUAAACCAUUAAAAAUAAACAUAUUUUGCAAGAUUUAUGAUAAUUUUGAGUUUAAAAUUAGGUACAAAAUACAACUCCAGUAAAAUUGAUAUGAUCAUAUCUAGGAGAAACACACUGGACUUAUACUGCUGCAAUUUGAAAAAAAUUAUAUAUUGUAUUACGAGUGUAAAAUAAAAUUUUAAUAAUUCAUCGUAAGAUCAAGAUCAUGAGAUCAGUUUUAUCCUUUGCAAAAAGAAUUAGAUUUGUCAAAAUAGUCAAAAAUAAGUUAGAAACCAAAGCAAAGAGAAUUGCACACCAUGAAAGUGAGAAAGGUCGACUAGAUCCUGUCAAAGAGCACACUAGAAGGCUCAGGCACUGUCACACAAGCGGCUGUUGAACGAGAUACAGAAAAGCAUGAUCAAUAAUAUUUGUCCAAACACCAAGAUCAUAAUUUUAGACCUGUUUGAAUUGUAUACAAUCCUGGCAUACACACUUCCGAUACGACAAAGUAACAUUCAUAGGUUUCCUUGAAAAGUAUCUGUUACCCAACUAGAGUACCAUAUCUAGCUCCCCCUGUAUGUGGUGAAUGAAAAGGGUGAAUGCAGCAGAGGAACAUGAAAGUGUUCUGCUAUCUGGUUUUCUCUGACCUGAAACACCAAGCUGACAUAAGGAAAGAAGCCAGAGGGUGCAUAUUUACCGGUGUCGAAACUUAUCCGGUAAAAGCCAGGAGUUAUAUGGUCAACGAUGCCCAUCAGAGGGCCGCUGCGUCCAUCAGUAUUUGUUGUCGAAGAGCCUAUCAACAUCCAGUCGGUGGAUUCUCUGUUUGUAAAUGAUGGGUGCUGCUGAGUUCCUUUCCACAUUUCAAGGUGAACCUCCAUGCCGGAAGCUGGAGAGCCACGGGCAACAUCCAGGACAUGGGUUGUGAUGGGAGGACGAGUGCGGUGGCUAUUACCUGAAAUUUCAGUGGUUUUACUGGAAGGUACCUUAGGAAUAGCCAUAAUAUGUGCUCCAAUGAUUCCUAAACGAUCUUUUAAGAUUCAAAACAUGAGUUGUCAGGAUGAAGCAUGAGUAAAAUGCAAAGUUAACAGAACUGGAAUCUUUGAAGUUAUACUAGCUAGAUUAAUUUGACUUGCCAGAGUUAACAGAAUGUAAAUGCAGCAAAGUUAAACACACUCUUUAUGCAGCAUCACCACUGUCUCUGGUUAAACAUUGUCAUCAUAAAGAAAAAAGUGGCACAUAUGUUUUCAAAAAAGAUGUUUCACAGACCAAAUGAAAAUGUGGAAUCAACUAAGGGACUCUUGUGAUAUUCCAUGAUUGACUAAAUUGAAAUAGCUCAAGGUAAACAGUAACCUAAACUUAUAUGAUAUAUCUAUCUAACAUGAGUGAAAAAGUCGAACUAGGCAGUAAGAUAAGAUCGAAUAUGUUCAUUCCAGUGAAUAAACUUUGGACCACAUGCAGCAGGGACUACCACUUACAGACCAAUGGUUUAUGAUGAAUCUAGAGGUCUUGAGAAACUGCAAACCAAAGAAAAUAAUUAACCAAAGAAAAUAAUUCAUACAGACCACUUAACCAUCCUCCGGAUGCAAUUAGCAAGUUCCCAAAAGAGAAACCAUGCUGAGAAAGAUGUCCAUCCUUCUUUCCUCUGGACUAGAUUACUCCUAAUGGUUUCAAGCAACAUGAGAGUUUCUUCAGUAAAUUUUACAUCUACCCAACCACUAAUCUAUAAGAAUAUAAAGGAUAUGUGCAAAUGGGCAUAACAGUGUGCAAGUGAUCUAUCCAUCUUAACCACACUCAGGCAAAACUAAUACAUGUCCUUAUCUCUAAUCACUGGAUUCCACAAUAUGAAGAAUCUAAGAUCCAAUUUCCAUAUAUAUAAUCAAAUGUAGUAUGAUUGCACCCAUAGAACAUACUUUAAAAAGACACAAAACAUAGUGUAAAAAGCCUAUUUUAAACUCAAUUUUCUACAGUCUAUGCAUUAUCUCGGUUUUUCGUUUCCUUAAGCAGGAUCUAUCACUCAACUAACGAACAAGAACAACCGCAGACAUUUGCAGAUUAACAAAGUAAUACAUUUUAAGAAUGAAUUUCCAUGUCUUCAUCUGACCAAACAUUGUUUUUGUAACAACAUAUACAGAGUUGCCCAACCUCAAUUGACAGCUUUGUUUCUCAUAUCUAAACUAUUGAUUUUCAACAGCAAUUAUUUAUUCUCAAAUAACUCCUAUAUACAUUCAGUUAUACAAGUAAAAGUGAGAACAAAAUGAUCAAUUGUGUGACAAAGAUAACUGGAAAAAAUAUAUAUUGUCCUUGUUUAAAACAUCAGGAAAAUGAAGAGGUUACUACCUUCUGGUUUAGUUGGUGAACUAACAGGAAGACGAGUUGUGACUGGAAUGUUUGAUCCAGCAUCAGAAUUAAAAAGCCUAGCAAGACGCAAUUCAGUUAUCUUCAUCUCCUCUUGUGCUGCUAUUUCAAGUUCGACAAUGGGCCUAUUCAGGUAGCGUUUCUAUAGCAAGGUAAAAUCAGUAGGUUAACAAUAGAUACACUCAGAAAUUGUCAAAGAAGAGAAUGCAACAUCAGCUGCACCUAAAUUGAUAAUAAAUUCAGAAAUCAAAUAUAAUUAGUGUCGACAUGCUCAUGUCAUAUUAAGGUUAUUCACAUCAAUAGUGACCCAUUUCUGAAAUGGGGACAAAUUUAAAUUACAUAACAUCACAAUAUAAGUAGCCUAAACUACCAAGGAUUUGAAGGACUAGAUGCAUAAGAGGAAUGAACAACUGUACAUGCCACAGUGGUUAACAGAGAACAACAACGAAUAGAUAAUCAUGUCAAAUGAACUGAAUGACAACCAAUGCACAGAAUAUCAAGUAGACAAGCCACUUCUUCACAGGCAACCUACAAACAAUUCCACCAGAUUGAGAUGCCUUUUCUUUCUCCUAAAGCAACCGCAUGAGGAACAUUUUCAUAUAAAGUUUUGGAAAAAAUUUGCAAAGAGUGAAAUUUAGCUAAUUCAAAGUUGAUAAAAUAUGGAGAAGUUGCAUCAUAUGCAGAAGAGAGAAGCACAAAUUAGCAAACGAGUUAAUAUUUGCUGACCAGGUACAGAGAAAAUGAUAAGAGCAUAAGAAUCAGUUCCUUAUAAUUAAAAAAACAUAUUUUAACCAAAAAAGUUUCUUUAGCAUCUAGGACCCUCAAAGAGCUUCCAUUAUGUGGACGUCUACAGUUAUCAACAUAGGUUUUGAGGCAAUGCCAUAGGAGGAAAAUGAAAGCUUGGAUUUGUCCAACAAAGAGUUCUUGACUCUUCUAUGAAAAUUUGUUCCAAGAGUGUUUCAUACCAUCCAUCUUUAUUUCUUCUCUAGAUCCUUGAAACCAUCCUUAUCGAUUGCCAAAACAUUCAAGAACACUAUAUCAAAUUAACACUUCUAAACAAGUGACUUGGCAUCUUUCCGAUUUCCGAUAUAUCAAUAGAUGUAGAAAUACAACGUCAACCUACUUUCUUGUUAUUGAUCCCCUUUUUUCUUACUCUUUCUACAGAUUAGGGCUUAAGGGUGUCACUCUUUGGGUAUUAAAAAGACAAAAAAAGAAUCUCCAAAGCAUAAAGAACUUCAAUUUUUCAGAUGUCUUUGGAUGCAGCUACAUUCGGGAUAAAGAUCCAUCCUUGCAUGCGCAUACAUAACCACAGGAACACACAGCACAGGAUAAAAGAGCCUCUUGGUAGAGGUAGUAGACAAAACAUUGAUGAGUAGUUCUAUGUGGUGGUAAGACCUAACAAUAUUCCAAUGAAAAGAUAGUUUAAGUAGCAAUAGUAUCUUCCAUCUUACCAUCAUUAAAACUGUUAUUUGUUGAGGGUAAUUGGAAAGCAUGAUUCAGAAAAACGGUAGUUUGUUCAGAAAAAUGAAACCUUUAAUUCAGCAAGGAUCUCCGGCGUGCCCCUCCCAGAUGCGCAUAUGAGGAACACGAACCCAAACUUCUCCCUGUACCGAGAAUUCCAUUCCAUCAAUUCCUACCAUUUGAAAAACCAAAGAAGAAGUUAACAACUACUCGACGUAAUUAUAAGAUAUUUCAGUAAAACAAUAAAUGACACAUCGGAGGAUCACCUGCAAGGCGGAAUCGUUAGCAGUAGCCAUCGCUGCGGAUUGCUCUUCCUUACACCACCUAAUCCAAUUACCGAUCCGACAACUGAAUUAGCGGAGAAGGAGAGGCCAAAAUUUCAGACAGGGAAGGAAGAAGAGAGAUGAGACGAACUGGGAGACGGAAGGAGAGGUGGUUCCGAUCGCCGGGUGAGCCGCGAAAGCCUCGAGCCAUCCGACGACGUCGACCUACAAGAUUCAUUAGAAAACAAGAGGGAGAUGGAAUCACAACAGGCUAGUGAGAAGAACGGGAAGAGGAACUAGGAAUAGGGCAAAGGGGAGACCUUGUUGAGCCAGAUGUCGCGGGCGGAUCGGAGGGCGUGGUCGAGGUCGGUGAAGGGGGAGGCCGAGACCAUCUCCUUGGCGAACCUUUUGCUGCCGCAGCAGCGCAGCACGUCCUCCUCCAUGCACGAAAGAGCCGUCAUCUUUCUCUUCUCCCGUCUCUUCCCCCACUCUCUCUUCUUUCCUCUUCUCUCUUCCUUCUAACACUGCCACUCCUCUUCUCUCGCCAUGUGGACAUGAUGAUGAUAAUUAUUAUUAUUUUAUUUUCUGAUAUUGUUAGGGUUUUUUCCUUUUUAUUCUUUGUGAUUUUGUUGAAGCUUUAGUCUUUUAAAAAAAUAAAAAAUAGUUUCUUUAUUUUUAUUAUUGUUUAAAUCAAAUAGAAUAUAAUCGAAAUCAAAAUUAAAGAUGACAAAUUAUUUUAGUUCAAGUGAAUAUUUUUUUAUUCGAUUAAUUAAUUUGGAUUAAUCGAUCUUAAUUUAAAAAAUAUUAAUUUGAUUGAGUUCAAUAUCAUUUCAAUCAGAUUAAUCUAAUCAAAUCAAAGACCCUAAUAUCGAUAUUACCUAAUUUUAAUAUCAUAAUUUUAUAAAUAUUGUGAGCUCAAUUUCAUAAAUCUUAUCGUGUCGAUCGAAUUGAACCAAGACUUUAAUUCGAUUCAAUUGAAUUGAACCGAUUGAUCGAUUUGGCUCUUUUAAAAUAUAUAUAUAUAUAUAUUCUUAAAAUUAUUUAAAAUCAUAAAAUUUGAAAUUUAACAUUUAACUGUUCGAUUGAAAAUAACUUGAACACAUGUAACAUGUAAUAAGUAUAUAGGGAAAGUUAUAAAUAGUCUAUUAAAGAUUAGCUAUCUCAUCUCAAUCCUUCAUCUUAUUUGAUUAAAUUUUUUUUUUAAUAUUAAAAAAUUCGAAACAACAAAUGAAAUGAGGAGUAAAUGGGAUAAACAAAUUUUCUCUCACUGAAAACAUGGUUUUUUUCCAUAAAUUUAAGAAAUAUUUUACAUGUAUAUCCUUGGAAUUUCUAAAUUACAUAUUUACUUAUAUAAAUCUUAAAUUACUAAUAUAUCUGUAUAUAUAUUAAAAUUAUUUACUCAUCCAUUAUAAAAUAUUGGGUUAAUCAUUAAUCAUCAUUAGGAGUUCAAAAAAAUACUGUAUAUAAUAAUUAAAAUACUCUUAUCAUCACAAUUUGACAUUAACUAUAUAUAUAUAUAUAUAUAUAUAUAUAUAUAUAUAUAUAUAUAUAUAUAUAUAUAUAUAUAUAUAUAUAUAUAUAUAUAUAUAUAUGUAUAUCAUGGAAAAUUUUCCUUCUCUGGUUGCAGGUAACCCUUUGCAAAGGCUUAGUCUUCUCUCUCUCUCUCUCUCUUCUUCUUCUUCUUCUUCUUCUUCUUCUUCUUCUUCUUCUUCUUCUUCUUCUUCUCUUGUUUAAAUUACUUAAAGGCCAUACAACCAUCAUAAGGCUUUAUAUUACAACACCAAUAUCCAGUUUGAUCUUGGAAUCUUUUAGAUCUCACAGAAGCAAUUUAUGUCCAUAAAACUCAAGGAGAAAUAGCACAAAAAAUGAUGUAAGAGAAGGAACGUUAGCAAUUAGAAGUAUAUGGAAACAAUCAGCUCAGAAAACCUGAGUGAUCAACAAUGAAGUCAUUAAAUCUAGUAAUCAGAAAUUAUACUACGACAAGAACAUUGAUAUCAUCGCAUCUGUAGCAUCAAGAUUCAUGCCUAUGAAGAACAUUUAUAUCAGCCAACAACAAGCACAGAUCGACAUGCUCCAUAAAUCCAUAAUGUUCAGUAGAAGCAAAGAGUGUGAGGAUUUUUAUCAAAGUCAUAAUACAACUGUGACUUGGUUCUUUCACUCUCAGAUUUCAGACUUCUAAACUACACAUAAAGUUGCAUUGUUAAGUAUUAAUUAACUACUAAUCAAAAAUUGAAAAUGCACAGAAGAUAAUAAAAAUUUAAAUAUCUUUUUUUUUAAAUUGAUGUAAAUAUUGAUACUUAAUUUUUCAGUCUACAUUUGUGUAUGUUUUUUUACAUAUUCAUUUUUGGUUAAAAAUGAUUUAAAAUGGCUAUGUAAUAAAAAGAUUUAAAUGCACAGAAUGAAUGACAAAGUAUUUGUCAUCAUCAUUCUGGAGUUUUGUAUAUAAUGUAGGAUUGGUUGGAGAACACAACACACCUAAUCAUAGACAAAAAUAAUCUAAAAGAUCCAAGAAAUAAUCAAGGGAUUAGGAAAUUUACCUGACUAAAUCUCAAUUUUUCACUUGAGAAGUUACAUGAAAGGAUAAAACUUAUCAUCAUAUUUAAACAGUAUUCCAAUUAUGAAGACACUAAAUUCAGUGCAAUUGUGUGCCACUACAACAUCUUAUGUUGAUCCAACGAAUCAACAAUUGGACAAACUCCUUACAUUAUUCACUUGCAGUUUUCUCCUCCAGUAAUCCUAAACUCCUAAUUGAAUGAUGCAAAACGACACUCUACAAUAGAAACAUCAUCCUCUAAAAAGAUCUAAUAAGUUACAUAUAUGGAACUUCUUGAAGUUCUUGUGACCAAGUGAUGUCAUAAGUCACCUAUAUGAGUAUCUAAUUUAUCAUUGAUAGGCAAUUUUUUUGGGUUAGCUAUUCAUAUUGGAUUAUGGUACUCUAUCUAUAUCUGAAGUUUCUCAUUGAAAAUAGUAAAUGUUUAUUAAGUGACCAAGAACACAAUAUGGUAAACCAGUUGUAAGCAUAAGCCUAAUCAUGAUAUUUUGGUAAGGCAGCAUAUACACAUGAGAAAUACCAAGGCUGACUCAAGAAGAAUGCAUCCAAUUAAAAAUGACCCAAGAAUAGAAGAUAUAAUACACAUUUUUAUACAUAGUUGAGAUUCAGAUUACCUGAAAGGACAAUUACAUUAUUUGUCUAAAACAAGAAGGUAUAUUAAUGUUGAAGUGUGCAAAGGCUGCAAGAAGAGAUAUAAACAAUCUGUGGUUCUAUAAUUUGGCAUGCCAAGUUGACACACAACAUUAGAUAAAUAAUUAGAUCAUGCAUGGAAGCAAGAGGAUAUUGCAAAGUGUUGGCAAACAUUCCCAUUCUCAAUGUAGCACUGCCUUUAGUGCACAACUCAAAGGAAUCUUUACAUGUAAAAAAACCUUGCAAAGAUUUCAGAGCAAUCAACAUCUUUUUCUAUUGUUUUGAGAUGCAUCAGUGAAACAAAGAGGGUGGAGAAAGUAGGACUGGUUGUCUUUUUAUUAAAGGCAUGCAGCACAACUGGGAUAACACACAGAAGAAACCCUAUAGUUCUUUUCCAUCUUUCCUAGCUUCCAUGAUCCUCAAUGUUCACAGUAGAAAACUCCAUUUCAGAAUAAUCUGCUUACAAGUGGAGGAAGAGUAGAGGUAACUUUUCUGGAAAAUUAAUCCAAGUUGAAUGCUUCUCAAUUAGAUUUAUCAUAUUGUAGUAGCAGUUGUACUGUGAGCACAAGAUGAGGUGCAGAAGCUGAUGCGCAUGGAGUGGAUGAUACUGAUGAUGAUGAUGACAGUGAAAUAGAAGUGUUUUUAUAGGGCCUGUAGGUGGCCUCAAACCCACUCAUAAAAAGGAGACUACUUCCAUGAGCAACAACAAACAACAGUCUUUGGAAGGAGAGAGAGAGAGAGAGAGAGAGAGAGAGAGAGAGAGAGAGGGAGGAUGAAGAGAAAGAGAAUAUACAGCAACGGAUCAUCAAACACAGAUCAAGAAAUGAAACAAGCUGAGUACUUGUACAUGGAAAUCCUCAAACACGCUUGCUAACCUUUGCUUUGCUGCAGCGGUCGGUCAUGGAUCAGCUCCACUUAUCCCCGUCCUCCAUUUCUAGUCCGUGCAUUGGUGGGAAUCACAGUUACACCAUGGCAUGUCAGAAAGGCGACCGCCCAGUUGCGCCGCCCGCCC